AUCGGUCUUUUAUGUGUUCAAGAAGA
rnacentral:sRNA from 1 species